rnacentral:SRP_RNA from 1 species
GCUGGGUGCGGUGGCGGGUGCCUGUAAUCCCAGCUACUCGGGAGGCUGAGGCAGGAGAAUUGCUUGAACCCGGGAGGCAGAGUUCGCAGUGAGCCGAGAUCGUGCCACUGCACUCUAGCCUGGGUGACAGAGCAAGACUCUGCCUCAA